CCCAAAUUUCAUUUUGAAUUGUAAUCCCUGUGUCUCAAGGGAGGAUCCUGGUGGGAGGUGAUUGAAUUAUGGGAGUGGUUUACCCUAUUCUGUUCUACUAAUAGUGAGUGAGUCUCAGGAGAUCUGAUGGUUUUAAAAGUGGCAGUUUUUCUUGUGCACGCUCUCUCUCUCACCUGCCGGCAUGUAAGAAGUGCCUUACAUCUUGAUUCUAUGCCCACAAUCAUUGUUAUCACUGCAAUAAGAGUUGCAAAAGUUGGACACAUGGAUGAGACAGAGAUCUGAUUAAUGAAAAUAACUUUAUUUUAGAGGGAAGUGGACUGUAAAUGGAAUUCUAAAAAUUCCAUCCUACCUUCCAGGAGAUGUGGGUUACCUCUAAACUUAAGCAAAGUAGUGUUGGAUAUUGUGAAGAAUAUCUCUCAACUGGAUUGUCUGAUGUUUUCCCUACGAUUAGACUGAGAUUACCAGUUUUGGGGAGAAAGAUCACAAAGACUCCACUACAGACCUGGAUGUGGUCGUGCCUGUGGAGGCAGAAGGGCUGUGGGGAGUUUUCAUUCAGCAGCCUAGUCUGA
rnacentral:lncRNA from 1 species